AACUAUUUGUUUUGGUCUUGG
rnacentral:miRNA from 1 species